UGUCGUAAGGGAAAAUAAUGAUAGUACCUUACUAAUAGUGUCGUCCAAAUCUAGUGCCAGAAGACUCGGUAAGACCAGAGACGCAAACGUUAAUCAUCUUAAGCAGGCGUAAAGGGUAAGUAGGCAGCUCCCAGAUAGAAGACAAUUACGAAAUAAAGUCGUCUUAUUGGGAGAUAGAAUCAAAUGGAGGUCAAACCGUAUAACGCUCGGGGGAGGGCUGAUAUCCUUAGAUCCUGAGUAGAAUACUAAGGGCGCAGGCCACUGACCACUAAUGAUUGACGCUGAGGAACGAAGGUUAGGGUAGGAAAUAGGAUUAGAUACCCCGGUACUCCUUUCUGUAAACGAUGAAUGGUAGUCAUUAGAAAACAAUUUUUAGAGACGAAGUUAACACGAUAACCAUUCCGCCUUGUGAGUACUAUUGCAAAGUAGAAAACAAAAAAAUUAGUCGGUCUCGAAGCAAACGGAGUGAAGCA
rnacentral:rRNA from 1 species